UACGUAGGUGGCAAGCGUUGUCCGGAUUUACUGGGCGUAAAGAGCGCGCAGGCGGUCGUGCAAGUCGCGUGUGAAAGCCCCCGGCUCAACUGGGGGAGGGUCACGCGAUACUGGCUCGACUCGAAGGCAGGAGAGGGAAGUGGAAUUCCCGGUGGUAGUGGUGAAAUGCGUAGAUAGUCGGGAGGAACACCGGUGGCGAAGGCGGGUCUCUGGGCAAGCACUGACGCUGAGGAGCGAAAGCGUGGGGGAGCGAACAG
rnacentral:rRNA from 1 species